GAUGAACGCUAGCGGCAGGCUUAAUACAUGCAAGUUGAGGGGCAGCAUGAUAUACGCGAGUAUAUUGAUGGCGACCGGCGGACGGGUGAGUAAUAGGUAGGAGACCUACCUCAUACAGGGGGAUAGCAUAGAGAAAUCUGUGGUAAUACCCCAUGAGGUUAUAUGAAUAGAGGCAUAUAAUCAAAGCAUAAGCGGUUAUGCGGUAUGAGAGGGGCCUACUGACCAUUAGCUAGUUGGUGAGGUAAGGGCUCACCAAGGCGAAGAUGGUUAGGGGUUUUGAGAGAGAGACCCCCCACAUUGGAACUGAGAGACGGUCCAGACUCCUACGGGAGGCAGCAGUAGGGAAUAUUGGGCAAUGGGCGAAAGCCUGACCCAGCCAUGCCGCGUGAAGGAAGACGGCCUUAUGGGUUGUAAACUUCUUUACUACGCGAAUAGAGGUUAGUACGAGAUACUAAUAGGAAGGUAGUGUAAGUAAAAGCACCGGCUAACUCCGUGCC
rnacentral:rRNA from 1 species